UACAGAGGGUGCGAGCGUUAAUCGGAGUUACUGGGCGUAAAGGGCGCGUAGGCGGUUAUAUAUGUGGGAUGUGAAAGCCCUGGGCUUAACCUAGGAAGCGCAUACCGAACUGUAUAGCUGGAGUAUGGGAGAGGGUGGCGGAAUUUCCGGUGUAGCGGUGAAAUGCGUAGAGAUCGGAAGGAACGUCGAUGGCGAAGGCAGCCACCUGGCCCAAUACUGACGCUGAGGCGCGAAAGCGUGGGGAGCGAACAGG
rnacentral:rRNA from 1 species